UGCAAUGUUUUGUAAGGAAGGGGGCGGUGGGUGAUGUUUUAAGCGAUCACAGAAAGAUCGAUAUAGCACUAUUCUGUCUUUAAGAACCCAAAACAUUUGUAGGUGUUACUUUGCUUUCGUCAGCGCUGACGUUUCUGAAUCGUCCCGAGGAAAUGGCGCUCUUUUGAGCAGCGUGAGAACAGAGGGAAGCACGACAGAAUCGGUAUAUUCCUGAUGGUGUGGACACGAUUGUGAAAAACGGGCAUCAGGAAUGGUGCAAUACAAGCGGAAAAAUAAGCAUCUACAUGCCUCUUUUCUCCAGCGGUUCAUGAAUGCACGAUGUUGCUUUAUACUGAAUCAGCCACGGGUCCAUCAAGAUAAUUAACUCAAACAAAAGCAUCACUACAUCAUAUGACCAUCCAGAUCAUAUCUCUGCUGUCCUCCACUACUUCAGUCAUCA